rfam:Puccinia triticina 1-1 BBBD Race 1 supercont2.7567, whole genome shotgun sequence.
GCCUCUGUAGCCUAGUUGGUAAAGGCAGCACUCUAGUAUGUGUCUCAGCAUAGCUGAGGUCGUGAGUUCAACUCUCACCAGACACA